AUUGAACGCUGGCGGCAGGCUUAACACAUGCAAGUCGAACGAGUGGCGGACGGGUGAGUAAUGCUUGGGAAUCUGGCUGAUGGAGGGGGAUAACUACGGGAAACUGUAGCUAAUACCGCAUACCAUAGGAUGAGCCCAAGGGGGAUUAGGUAGUUGGUGAGGUAACGGCUCACCAAGCCGACGAUCUCUAGCGGGUCUGCGAGGAUGACCAGCCACACUGGGACUGAGACACGGCCCAGACUCCUACGGGAGGCAGCAGUGGGGAAUAUUGCGCAAUGGGCGCAAGCCUGAUGCAGCAAUGCCGCGUGAAUGAAGAAGGCCUUCGGGUUGUAAAGUUCUUUCGGUAGAGAGGCGUUACCUACAGAAGAAGCACCGGCUAACUCCGUGCCAGCCGCCGCGGUAAUAC
rnacentral:rRNA from 1 species